UGUACUUUAAUUGCACUCAUCACUUUUCAACAACCAAAGUACAAGUCGUUUACACGCAAGACUCUCUUUUGACGAUGCUCACCCGCAUAUCUCAGAUCUCACAGGAAGCUUUGGACCUCUGCUCGUCGGGUUCUCCUUCCAGUUCUUUGCCGGGCCUCCUCUGCUCCGCUGCCCUCACCUCUCUCACUCUCACACCUUCUCUUCUUCUGCCUUUGCUCUUCGUUCUACAGCUUAUGUUUAUUUCGAUUUCAAUUUUCUGCAUUGGAAGAGGCAUUGCUUUUCUACUCAACCUGCACUAGAACUUCCCGCCGGUAAGAUCGUGGAUGUGCCGUUGGCACAAACUGGUGAAGGUAUUGCAGAAUGUGAACUUCUCAAAUGGCAUGUCCAAGAGAGCUACUAGAUUCUGAUCUUGAAAAAGGGAAACGUGCUGCAGUGUUAUGAACACCUGCUGUAAGGAGUCUUGCAAAGCACCAUGGUAUAGACAUAAAUGAAGUAUGUGGAACUGGAAAAGAUGGAAGGGUAUUGAAAGAAGAUGUGCUCAAUUUUGCUGCUAAGAAGGGAAUAAUUAGAAAUGUAUCUGCUGCUUUGCAUGCUGAUAAUGUAGAGAAGCCUCAAGGAGCAGAAGGAUAGAGUGUGACACCUGGUAUAAAUCACAUUGAGAGGAUAGGAUACUUCCC